UACCUGGUUGAUCCUGCCAGUAGUCAUAUGCUUGUCUCAAAGACUAAGCCAUGCAUGUCUAAGUAUAAAUGCUAUACAAUGAAACUGCGAAUGGCUCAUUAAAACAGUUAUAGUUUAUUUGGUAAUCGAAUUUACAUGGAUAACCGUGGUAAUUCUAGAGCUAAUACAUGCUGUGAAGCCCGACUUCUGGAAGGGCCGUAUUUAUUAGAUAACAGACCAAUAUUCCUCGUGUCUAUUGUGGUGAAUCAUAGUAACUAAUCGGAUCGUAUGGGCUUCGCCCUCGACAAACCAUUCAAGUUUCUGCCCCAUCAGCUUUCGAUGGUAGUGUAUUGGACUACCAUGGCUUUCACGGGUAACGGAGGAUUAGGGUUCGAUUCCGGAGAGGGAGCCUGAGAAACGGCUACCACAUCUAAGGAAGGCAGCAGGCGCGUAAAUUACCCAAUUCUGACUCAGAGAGGUAGUGACAAGAAAUAACGGACCGGGGCCUUACGGCUUCGGGAUUGCAAUGAGCCGAAUUUACACCCCUUAGCGAAGAUCGAUUGGAGGGCAAGUCUGGUGCCAGCAGCCGCGGUAAUUCCAGCUCCAAUAGC
rnacentral:rRNA from 1 species